rnacentral:rRNA from 1 species
AUUCCAGCUCUGUAAGCGUAUACCAAAGUUGUUGCAGUUAAAACGCUCGUAGUCGAACCUUGGCGUGAGUUACGGAGGCUCCUAAUGGACGUUGAAGUAACUCCGCCUUUGUGGAGGGGGGUGUGGUGUUACUUAAUUGUAUUGCCGCAUUUCCGCCACUGUUUACUGUGAAAAAAUUAGAGUGUUCAAAGCGAGCGUUUGCCAUGAAUACAUUAGCAUGGAAUAAUAGAAUAGGACCUGGUCCUGUUUUAUUGGUUUGUCUGUAUCAGGUAAUGAUUAACAGGGACGGUCGGGGGCAUUUGUAUUCCAGCGUUAGAGGUGAAAUUCUUGGAUCGCUGGAAGACAAACAGCUGCGAAAGCGUCUGCCAAGGACGUUUUCAUUA